rnacentral:lncRNA from 1 species
CAGGUAUAAAGGUCUACUUUAGGUCUAACAUUAGGCCUACUGCCUGACUACAGGUAUAAAGGUCUAUAGUUCUACUGCCUGACUGCAGGUAUAAAGGUCUUUAGUUCAACUUCCUGAAUAAAGGCCUACUUUAUGUCUAACAUUAGACCUACUUCCUGACUACAGGUAUAAAGGUCUAUAGUUCUACUUCCUGACUACAGGUUUCAAGGUCUAUAGUUAUUUUUCCUGACUACAGGUAUAAAGGUCUUUAGUUCUACUUCCUGACUACAGAGUGUCUAUAGGUCUCUUAAGGUGUUGCUAUCUAAGGUGAACUCCUCAAAGCUGAAUAUUUUCCAUUGACGUCACGUUGGUGUGAAACCUGUUUACCUCGAUGCUAGACCCUCCUCUUCCUGUCACAACAUGGGUUUCAGAGAAAAGGACCACGAGCUGAAAACUUUCCACUCAAUUGAACCAAUCGCUGCUCGUAUGUCCUUUCAUGGUAAAGUACAUCUAGUCAUGAACACAGAAAUACGCAGAAAAGACCUUGUUACUCAAAGACCCAGCUACUCUCUGACAGUCACCAUCAGACCAUCAGACCACCAGAUGGACAGGCUGUGUGUCACUCUGAUUGCAUUCUUAUGAGGAAGGAGACCUGUUUUACGCCUCGUUGGAUAUCCGUCAGGGACAGAGGAGACCAAAGAAGAAGAAGAAGAGAGUCCAGAACUCUGACUUCAGUACCUACACAGCCAUCAAUACCAGCAGAG